rnacentral:rRNA from 1 species
UGUAGCAGCCAUAUCACCCUGCAGCCCACUGGUUGCCCACUGAAGCUAAGCAGGGUUGAGCCUGGUCAGUACCUGGAUGGGAGACCUCCUGGGAAAACUAGGUUGCUGCUGGAA